AUGUUAGGAUUAGGUGUAUUGGUAGCACGAAGAAUUUUGAAUUCUUAAGAAUAGGUUCAAUUCCUAUUAUCCUAG
rnacentral:tRNA from 1 species